AUAUCUUUCUCGGUCUUUUGGCUAAGAUAAAGUGUAAUAUUUGUUCGUAUCAGUUUAAUAUCUGGUAUAUGGACUAUAUGUUCACUUCGAUAUUAAAUUUAUUUUUUAUGUGUAUUUUUUUGUGGAGAGGUCCAGCACAUUGGCUUACUAGACUCUCGCCCAUUGCACUGUCGGUAGUCAUUAAAUAU
rfam:Zea mays cultivar B73 chromosome 10, whole genome shotgun sequence.